rnacentral:rRNA from 1 species
GUGUCAGCAGCCGCGGUAAGACAGAGGUCUCGAGCGUUAAUCGGAUUCAUUGGGCUUAAAGCGUGCGUAGGCGGGCCGUUAAGCGUUUCGUGAAAGCCCCCGGCUCAACCGGGGAACAGCGGGACGGACUGGCGGCCUUGAGGCAGGUAUGGGCGGACAGAACUGUCGGUGGAGCGGUGAAAUGCGUAGAGAUCGACAGGAAUGCCUAUGGUGAAGACGGUCCGCUGGGCCUGUCCUGACGCUCAGGCACGAAAGCGUGGGGAGCAAACAGGAUUAGAAACCCCCGUAGUCC